rnacentral:sRNA from 1 species
ACAACUGCUGGAUGAACAGAGAGUACAGGCUGUUUAACUGAUACGGUGAGGCGCAACAUUCCAGCAGCGGUAACGACGUACCGCUGCUUUUUUUU